rnacentral:rRNA from 1 species
AGUGAACGCUGGCGGUAGGCCUAACACAUGCAAGUCGAACGGCAGCACAGUAAGAGCUUGCUCUUACGGGUGGCGAGUGGCGGACGGGUGAGGAAUACAUCGGAAUCUACUUUUUCGUGGGGGAUAACGUAGGGAAACUUACGCUAAUACCGCAUACGACCUACGGGUGAAAGCAGGGGAUCUUCGGACCUUGCGCGAUUGAAUGAGCCGACGUCGGAUUAGCUAGUUGGCGGGGUAAAGGCCCACCAAGGCGACGAUCCGUAGCUGGUCUGAGAGGAUGAUCAGCCACACUGGAACUGAGACACGGUCCAGACUCCUACGGGAGGCAGCAGUGGGGAAUAUUGGACAAUGGGCGCAAGCCUGGUCCAGCCAUACCGCGUGGGUGAAGAAGGCCUUCGGGUUGUAAAGCCCUUUUGUUGGGAAAGAAAAGCAGCAGGUUAAUAUCCCGCUGUUCUGACGGUACCCAAAGAAUAAGCACCGGCUAACUUCGUG